rnacentral:tRNA from 1 species
CAGUAAGUAGUUUAUAAAAAUAUUAAUUUUGGGGAUUAAUGAUGAGAGGUGUAUUUUCUUCUUGCUGA